rnacentral:misc_RNA from 1 species
AACGGUCUAUACCUGCGGUACCUGCGGAAGGAUCAUUACAUGAUUUGAGGGGGCUCACGUCCCCUCAUCCAACCCACAAACCCCGAGGAACUUUUAUGUCGAGUGGUUCGGCGCUCUCUUUGAGAGCCGCCCCUCAAACGCAUCGCAGGCUUUUCGUGAAGGUCUGAUGUGUCACAUCGUGAGUAUUAAAACUUUCAACAAUGGAUCUCU